rnacentral:rRNA from 1 species
ACUGGUGAGUAACACGUGGGUGACAUACCUUUUAGAUGGGGAUAGCUGCUAGAAAUAGUAGGUAAUACCGAAUGUGACCGCAUCUGGUGAUCAGGUGCGAGGAAAGGAGCUAAGGCUUCGCUAAAAGAAUGGCUCGCGGCCCAUUAGCUAGUUGGUGAGGUAACGGCCCACCAAGGCAAUGAUGGGUAUCCGGCCUGAGAGGGUGAACGGACACAUUGGGACUGAGAUACGGCCCAGACUUCUACGGGAGGCAGCAGUUAAGAAUAUUCCGCAAUGGACGAAAGUCUGACGGAGCGACGCCGCGUGGAUGAAGAAUGCCGAAAGGUUGUAAAAUCCUUUUAAGCCUGAGGAAUAAGCAGAGGAGGGAAUGCCUUUGCGGUGACUGUAGGGCUUGAAUAAGCAACGGCUAAUUACGUGCCAGCAGCCGCGGUAACACGUAAGUUGCGAGCGUUGUUCGGAAUUAUUGGGCGUAAAGGGCAUGUAGGCGGAAAUGCAAGCUUGAUGUGAAAUACUGCAGCUUAACUGCGGAACUGCAUUGAGAACUGCGUAUCUUGAAUUACUGAAGGGUAACCGGAAUUCCACGUGUAGGGGUGAAAUCUGUAGAUAUGUGGAAGAACACCAAUGGCGAAGGCAGGUUACCGGCAGAUAAUUGACGCUGAGGUGCGAAAGUGCGGGGAGCGAACAGGAUUAGAUACCCUGGUAGUCCGCACCGUAAAC